UACAUUUUAUUAUAUAAGUAUAAAAAUUUUUGAAAUUUUAGGAGAUAGUUAAAUUCUAUUAAAUGUAA
rnacentral:tRNA from 1 species